rnacentral:rRNA from 1 species
UUAGAUGUUCGGGGCCGCACGCGCGCCACACUGAAGGAAUCAACGUGUGCUCUCCCCGUCCGCCAGGACCGGGUAACCCGUUGAACCUCCUUCGUGAUAGGGACAGCAGUUUGUAACUUUCCUGCUCGAACGAGGAAUUCCCAGUAAGCGCGAGUCAUAAGCUCGUGUUGAUUACGUCCCUGGCCUUUGUACACACCGCCCGUCGCUACUACUGAUUGAAUGAUUUAGUGAGGUCUUCGGACUGGCGCUCGGACCGGCCUUUGCGGGCCGGGCCGCUGUUUGCCGGAAAGACGACCGAACUUGAUCAUUUAGAAGAAGUAAAAGUCGUAACAAGGUUACC